rnacentral:lncRNA from 1 species
CGACAGGCCUGGACUCCCUGACAGGCCAUAAUAAUGGCCACGACUCUGCUCCACUUCCUGUGAUAGAUUCUGUGUGGCUCCAUCACUCCCUGGCAGGCCAUAGUAACGGCCAUGACUCUGCUCCACUUCCUAUGAUGGAUUCCAUGCGGCUCCAUCACUCCCUAGCAGGCCACAGUAAUGGCCACAACUCUGCUCCACUUCCUGUGAUGGAUACCGCACGGCUCCUCCACUCUCUGGCAAGUCACGACAACGGAUGCCGCUUCACUCCCCGCAACAGACUCCACGUGGCAGGUCACGGUGAUGGCCACGAUUCCACUCCACUACUCUUCAUAAC